rnacentral:miRNA from 1 species
CGCCCGCCUCAGCCUCCCAAAGUGCUGGGAUUACAGGCAUGAGCCACUGCGCCCGGCCUUACACUGACUUUUUGAGCUCACUAUCAGU